GGAAAGCAGAACUGGACGAAGCCAAAGGCAUGGUUCAAUCUUGGAAGGCCAGCUAUGAGGGAAAUUAUCUUGUGGGUGAAAAUGCAGUUGAUGUUCCCCGAUGGGUAUGCAGCGAAUCUACAGAGGGGAGCCAGUCUUGAUAAAUUGAAGAUAUUUGGUCUCAAGAGUCAUGAUUGGCACAUAUGGAUUGAGCGGGUAAUGCCGGUGAUGUUGCGUGGCUUCAUCCCUCUGGAUGAAUGGCUAGUACUGGCAGAACUCAGCUAUUUCUUCCGUGUUCUUUGUGCGAAAGAACUAUCGCCUGGCGUGCUAGAAGAAAUGGAAGAGUUGGCGCCGGAGUUGAUCUGCAAGUUAGAGAAGAUCUUUCCACCGGGCUUCUUUAAUCCAAUGCAACAUUUGAUUUUGCAUCUCCCGACCGAGGCAAGAUUGGGGGGGCCCGUGCAAAAUCGUUGGUGCUACCCAACUGAGAGGAUGCAGAAAACGCUUCGACAAAAAUGUAAAAAUAAACGUAGAAUUGAAGCAUCGAUGGCUGAGGCAUUCAUCACUGAGGAGGCGGCAAACUUCGUGACAGCACACUACGAAGCCAAAAAUCGUCAUUUGCAUAAUCCGAAGCCUCGGUACAAUGCUGACGACCCUAAAAAGGGUGGAUCCAACCUCAGCCUUUUCAAAGGGAAUCUCGCACCAGCCAGUGUUUCAAAUCCAGUAUCU
rnacentral:rRNA from 1 species